rnacentral:sRNA from 1 species
GCUGGGCGCAGUGGCGCACCUCUGUAAUCCCAGUGGUUAGGGAGGCUGAGGCAGGAGGAUCAAGAGUUCAAAGCCAGUCUCAGCAAUGGUGAGGCCGCUAAGCAACUCAAUGAGAUCCUGUCUCUA